rnacentral:rRNA from 1 species
GUAAGGAAUAUUGGUCAAUGGACGAAAGUCUGAACCAGCCAUGCCGCGUGGAGGAUGAAGGUCCUCUGGAUUGUAAACUUCUUUUAUAUGGGACGAAAAUGGGGCUUUCUAGCUCAACUGACGGUACCAUAUGAAUAAGCACCGGCUAACUCCGUGCCAGCAGCCGCGGUAAUACGGAGGGUGCAAGCGUUAUCCGGAUUCACUGGGUUUAAAGGGUGCGUAGGUGGAUUGGUAAGUCAGAGGUGAAAUCUCCGGGCUCAACUCGGAAACUGCCUUUGAUACUAUCAAUCUUGAAUAUUGUGGAGGUUAGCGGAAUAUGUCAUGUAGCGGUGAAAUGCUUAGAUAUGACAUAGAACACCAAUUGCGAAGGCAGCUGGCUACACAUAUAUUGACACUGAGGCACGAAAGCGUGGGGAUCAAACAGGAUUAGAUACCCCGGUAGUCC